AAAUGUGUAUUUUUUACCAUUGCAUAGUUCUAAUGGUUUUCGGCUUCGGUCAGCUGAUGUAAUCAUUACCCGCGUCGGCUUGAGGGCCAGUGAGAAUUUUUGUUGUUGUAAAAGAUGGUUGAUUAGUUUUCGGGUAUUGAAGGAGGAUGAUAGGGGAGAUUGGGAAAAAUAGACGUAACUGGAUAUUGCCAAUACUUUGCAUACCACUUGGGUUUAUUUUAUUUUUUUUUAAACACAAAUUUUUAUCUGGAGAUAAAACAUGUUUCUUAAUUUUUAAAACCUAUUGAAACUUGAACGCAAAAUAUUAAAUUAUGCGAACCAAACUCGCUGUUUGGGAGUGCUGCCGUUGAAAAAGCAGCAGCAUAAAAUAUAAAAAUAAUUAUCAGACGGCACUCGCCAAAUGACUGCGCUAAAUCUGGCUCUUAUAUCAAACAGCGAACAGAAUAUAUAUAGAACCGCAGACCGGCGGGUAUGAUGUUAAUUAACGGGAGUUUUGUUGCGCAAUCCUCUCUGUGACUGUGUAUGGAAGCGGAAAAGUAGGCAAAUGUUGGCCAUUCCUAUAAAAAAGAACGCCGCCAGGCAAUGACCGGCAAAACAUGGUCGAGACAUUCGGGCAGAGAAACAUAAAAUCGUACGCGCGAAUAACGGUUUACAGACGUUCUUCAAAAAAAAAAAAAAAAAAAAAAAACGCGAGUAGCUAGUUCUGUAGAAUCUCGUAGAAUUGGGUGCUUGAUUUAAUCCUCUUUGAGGCAUGCGCCCAUGAUGUAUUAGGCUUAUAUAAAAACUGCUCCAAUUAAAGCAGGUAUUGGUAGGUGCUCCACAGCUAAGACUCAUUUAACUUCUUGCUAGUGAAAAAUCUGAGUGAAAGUAAGAACAAUAAACAUACUACAAAAGCUGUUAUCUCACUGAACAUGACUUGCUAAGUAUCAAAACUCUAUAGUUACUUACAGGGGAUAGUCAAAAUAAGUAGUAUAGGCAAAGUUUUGAUGAAAUUCGAAUUGCUGUAGCUUUGCCAAAUAUUGUUUGAUUUAAAUAAUUCGAACACCAUUGAACUGGAGAACUUUUUAUUUUCAUUUUCUGACCACAAAUGUGGUCUGGGUCAUCGGAUGUAGAAAAUAUUCCUGAGUUCCGUUAGUAAUGUCAAACCUGCUAAUUUUUGGAUGGAUUUGGCAAGGGGUUACCUGAUAAAAAUGUUCAUUUGCAUCAUUGGCAUAAAUGACAAAAUCAUUUCUGAUGCGAAUGGUUCAUCAAGAUCCGAAAUCGGCCAAGAACUCAUCGAGAAAUAGCUAUUUUUCAUCCGGAAGUCCUCAGAGGAACCUGCAGUGGCGUACAUUUACAUUUUUGCAUCAAAUAUAGCGUGUGACACCUUUAUAUUCAGGAUUUUUCAUCAAGAAUGAUCCAAAAGACAUAUUUCUGAAUACAGGCUGCAUUAGCCACUACCGGAACAAUAUAAAUGCCCCGUAGGAACCCGGAAUGGGGACAUUCACAUUUUUACAUCAAAUAUAGCGUGAGACACCUCUAUCUUCAUAUUUCUUCAUCAGGCAUCUUCCAAAAGUCAUAUUACUAAAUAUAGGCUGCAUUGGUCACUCCCGGAAUGAUCCGAAGGCCUGGCACUGACUGAGGAUCGCAACAUUCUAGGAAGUAAGAAUUGCUUCCUUAUCCCUCAUGACAACUUAAGGUCAAAAUACCCAAGUUAAGGUCAAAAUACGAAGGGUUGCGUUUACACUAAUACCAGGAAGUCAACUUCUGAACAACUUUGCUGAAAACCACGACUUUUCAGGUCAUUGGAAACACGCGAUAUUGCCCUAUUCCAGAUGAUGCAAUGCAAUACUCAGCCAAGCUUUCCCAAACUUAUGGUGGGUAAUACCUUUUAAUUUUAUACGCGUUUAUCUCGGAAUGGUGUUUCUCAAAAAAUGACUGCCGUGUUUACGAUUGUGGUGAAACUACUGAACCGAUUUCAUCAUCUCGUUUUUUUGAAAUGUUCGUCAUUAAACUCCCCGGUCGUUGAACGAUCGAUUUUUGAUACACGAAGGUUAACUUUGCCGAAAAAAAUUUUAAUGCAAUUUUCAGUGCUCAAAACAUGUGUUUUUCGGGGAAAACGCUCCCGUUGGCACUGAAAACAAAAUACUUAGAAAAACGAUCGUUCAGAUACCCGGCACACUUUUAAACUAAUGAAAUAAUAUAAGUUUUUUGAUUUCAGUUGAUGUGCUGCGUCAUUAUCGUAAACACCGCAAACCUCUGCCAAAAAAUGCGUUUCGGGGAAACGGCCAUUACUCCCCAAAUAAUUGGUAUUUUUUAUGAACAAACUUGUUUUGUUGUUGUUGAAUAACUGAACUUUCAUAAAAUUACUACUUUUAUGCAAUAAAAAGGUGCUACACGCCUAAAAAAAAUCCAAA